GUAGGGUGCGAGCGUUAAUCGGAAUUACUGGGCGUAAAGCGUGCGUAGGCGGUUUUGUAAGUCAGAUGUGAAAUCCCCGGGCUUAACCUGGGAACUGCGUUUGAAACUACAGAGCUAGAGUGUGGCAGAGGGGGGUGGAAUUCCACGUGUAGCAGUGAAAUGCGUAGAUAUGUGGAGGAACACCGAUGGCGAAGGCAACCCCCUGGGCCAACACUGACGCUGAGGCACGAAAGCGUGGGGAGCAAACAGGAUUAGAUACCCUGGUAGUCCACGCCCUAAACUAUGUCAACUAGUUGUCGGGGAAGCAAUUCUUUGGUAACGAAGCUAACGCGUGAAGUUGACCGCCUGGGGAGUACGGUCGCAAGAUUA
rnacentral:rRNA from 1 species